UCCAGCACCCUUUACUAACUACUAGAGGUGUAACGCUUUAUGUAUUCGUCCCGGUACCGAUGUCACGGUCCAGUGCAUGCAGUCAGACAAUAGGCUCAGCCCGAGUUCAUUGCGCUAUUAAAACUCCAAACCAGGUGGCAGUAAUGCGGCUAAAGCUGUUUGCUAGCCGCCUUAAACAACAAAACUCAAGAAGAAGAAAGGUUCGUGUUGCAGCGAGUUCAGCCCACAGAAAGCAGCUAGAAGCAGCAGCUAGAAGCAGCUACAAAGACACAUCGGCUUCAAAUCAGCUGUGAGGUUCAGGUUCACUGUGGAAUACAACAGCGAUGGCGUUCGAGUGGCGGCUCAGGCGAGGAAACUGAGUCGGCGCUGUUCAAUAGCCGUGCAGUAUGUGCAUGGAAACACAUUGAACACGUUAAUCCAUAUUAGAUGGCAUCAUCCAGAUGCGCCUAUCACUCGAGCCAGGCAAAAGAAAACAGGAGUUCAACAACGUAUCCCCAAUGUUUUCAAGAAGCCUCUAGAUCUGAAAUUACACAAAGACAUCACUCUAAAGCUAUUGGCAUAUACAUUUCAAUAGCUAUGCGCCCAUAUGGAGUAGUAUGAGACCCAUACUUCAAGUAUUUAUUUAAAGGUGGAAGUGUCAUAAUUCUGUUUAUCCCAAUCUAGCCAUUUUGACAUGUACCGUAAUUUCUCGUGUAUAAUGUGCAUUUUCUUCCCCCAAACAAUUGUCAAAAGUCACUUGUGCGCAUUAUACAUAGGUAUAGUGGGAAAUGGGAAGGGAAAAAAAGUUCACAUUUUAUAAAUGUAUGCUGCCAUCUACAGGUUAUGAAAAAGAUGUACACUUUAAUUCCAAUAUGCCACCGGCACGCAGAGGUUAUGAGAAAGGUGUACACUUUCAUUGUAAUAUGCCUCCGCCAGGCCGGCACGGUGGACGACUGGUUAGCACAUCUGCCUCACAGUUCUGGGGACCGGGGUUCAAAUCCCGGCCCCGCCUGUGUGGAGUUUGCAUGUUCUCCCCGUGCCUGCAUGGGUUUUCUCCGGGCACUCCCGUUUUCUCUCACUUCCCAAAAAACAUGCAUGGUAGGUUGAUUGAAGACUCUAAAUUUGCCCGUAGGUGUGAAUGUGAGUGCAAAUGGUUGUUUGUUUCUAUGUGCCCUGCGAUUGGGUGGCAACCAGUUGAGGGUGUACCCCGCCUCCUGCCCGAAGAUAGCUGGGAUAGGCUCCAGCAGCCCGCGAUCCUCGUGAGGAUAAGUGGGAAAGAAAAUGGAUGGAUGGAUGCCUCCGCCACCUAGAGGCUAUGAUAAAGGUCGGGUCGCGGGGGCAGUAGCUUUAGCAAGGAUGCCCAGACUUCCCUCUCCCCAGCCACUUCAUCCAGCUCUUCCUUUGGCGUUCCGAGGCCAGCUGGGAGACAGUCUCUCCAGCGUGUCCUGGGUCAUCCCCGGGGUCUCCCAAGAUACUUGAACUCCUCCACUUGGGGCAGGAUCGGAUUCCCGACCUGGAGAGGGCACACCACCCUUUUCCCGACUGAGGACCAAGGUCUCAGAUUUGGAGGUGCUUCACACUCUGCUGCGAACCACUCCAAUGGGAGUUGGAGAUCACGGCUUGAUGAAGCCAACAGAACCACAUCAUCUGCAAAAAGCAGAGAUGCAAUACUGAGGCAACCAAACCGGACCCCUCUACUUAUUUUAAUCCCAUUAAAAUAAAAUUGUGUUUCACCUG